AUGGGUUCAAAUAGGCUACCCUUUGGAUUCAUUUCGGGAGGAUAUAGCUGCAGUGAGCAAUAUGAUUGGCAGCAGUUAACCCUUCGUCAAAGAGAACAAGCAACAAGGGAGCAACCCCAUAGCAGUGCAAACUUGAGGACUGAGAGGACUAGUCCAUCCUUUGAUCGUGUUUGUAAUUAUGCAAAAGGGGCUGAUGGACAUAUUCAUGAUACGGUAACCCUUGGCAAGGUUUGUCAGUUUAAUGGGGGAAGUAGCACUCAGAAUGGACCUUAUCAAGCGGACCAAUAUCUGCCAUCUUACUUUCCAGUUGACCAUUUUUCUGAGAUAGAUGAAGCGCGGCAUCGGGCUUACAUGGACAGUUUCUACACUGACAAUAAUCCUGAUCACACCUCAGCUAGUCGGUUGCUUCAUAGGGAUGAACAAAGGAAAGCUUACACCAAGAAGCCAUUUAAGAAAUUGCACACUAUAAAAAAUUCAAAAAAACUGCGCACUAUCCAUCCUAGGCAACCUGAGCUUCCACUCCGUGAGGAUUUUCAUGAUAGGUUGGGCAUUAGAAAUUGCAGGAAUGCUUAUCAUGGCAAGAGGUUAAAAACAAAACCGGCAAGAUGGAGUUCUCAGAAAAACAAUUCCAGUGUGCCUUGUGUUGGUAAACAUGGGAGAAGCAGUCGGCAGACAAGAUCUGGAGAACAACCGUUUGAACAGGAAGCUGAGAACAGUAGACACAAAAGGUAUGGAGGUCCGCUGGCCGGAGAGAAAGCUAAGAAGCGUAUGAUUUAUGAGGGGCACCGUAAAGGAAUAUGUUCACGUCGUGAGCAAGAUGAGCAUCUGCAUCAUGAGGUACAUCGUAGUGGUUCUGAUACGAUGAGAAAUGACAAUUGGGAGAAAAAUGCUGAAACAAACGAUGAAGUAGAUCAUAAUGGAGCAGAAGGGAACUGCCAUCUAAUGAAGAAUAUUCGGACCGCUGCUGCUACAUGCUGUGGCUCAACAAAGUCUAAUGAAAACUCACAUGUUUUAUGUCCCAAGUACAGCAGCAAAACCAUUGCUUCAUCAAAUGAGCCAAAAGGGAGUAGCAACAUGAAAUUAGUAUCUGACAAGCAGCCAAGUGUUGUUGGUUGUACCAAAAGACCUCGAAACACAAGAACUGGAGACGUUUCGACACGUAACCUGCAGAAUCUCUCAGUCACUCAUAUGGAGAAGGGCAUGCAUACAAAGCAAGCUGAUAAUACUUCUCAUUCUGAAUUACUUCGCGAAUGUCUAGAUAUUUGGAGAAGAAGAAGAUUAAGGAAGGAAAGCAGUGCUGAAGCUAAAAAACUAGAUCAAACAGGUACUGCGGGGCAUGAAUGGUCUGCUUCUUCUUGUAGCUCAGAAAGUGAUGAUGAAAAUGUCAAUGCAUCUGAGAGUGCUUCUGGGAACUCAGAAAGUGCGGCUGAAAAUGAUACUGAAUUGGAGAAUUCCCAAAAAUGUAGAGGUGCAACGUCGCUUGAUGGAGUACAAAACCGUGGUGAGGGAAGAGCAAUGAUAAAUACAGAGCAGCCCUUGAGAUGCCUCAGUGGUACAAACUACAACAAAAGCUCAGCCAAGCAAGGGCUGAAGUGCAAUCUGGAGGUUUUGCAAGAACCACAUCCAGGUGAAAUCAUGCAGCAAAAGGAAGAGAAUAAACUUCCAUGCUGUCUACCAUCAACUGUUCAUCCAAAUGGCAUGAUACAAACUAGUCAGAACAGUUGUUCUGAUACUAGCAAGAAACAAACUAGACGGAACAACUGGGCAGAUAUUAGUAAGGUAGAUCAAGCAGCUACUUAUCCUGAUAGUAGUGUGUAUCGGAAUGUUUCUCAGCACGAGACUGGCAAUCAUUUGGAUGAUGGGAGAAAAUAUAAACUGGGCAUCGGCUGUGAAAUUAAAAGGAAAGCAGCACAAGGCAAUGGUCCCAAAUGGUUUGAACAAAUGCCCAGUUUGAUAACAGGUCCAACACUGCUGGAUCAAAAAAGUCUUGCAGUUUGCCCUCCUGAUGAUGGUAAUGUGAAGGUGUGUGGGUCAGAGUGUUCCAAUCAGUGCAGUAAAACUACUUUAGAAUUGGAGAAAGGGAAGAAGUCUGUCAAUUGCUCCAGUGGAACUGACUGCAGAGUCAUAAAAAUUUGUUCCAGUGAUGGUGAUUGCAGAGACAUCCGACAAGAUACCAUGAAUUGCAGAAGAAAGAGGCAAGUGUCUUUAUCUCUGGCAGACUCUGAAAAUGAUAAAGGAACAAAGGAAGAUUAUCAGCCACCUGGAGUUCUUGAAGUGAGAUCAAAUCGACAGAUUUCCUGCCUAUCUGAUGUUGGCAUAAAAAUACCUGACGUUGCUAGACCAGCUGAUUGCACCCCACGUUUUACAAUACCAGACUUAAAUUGUUUGCCUAGUAUGAUCGCAGAUGAAGAAGAAUUCGAGGCAUCUCAAGAAGUGAUUAAUCAAGUAACUGGGCACGGUUCGGAACCACAUGAUGCUUGUCCGAGCCUUUCUGCCUUUAGUGGGCCUGCUGUGCAGGAAGAACAGUUUAAGCAACCAGAGAAGAAUGAAUUUGUCGGAGGAAUUUGCGCAAAAACGGUUGCAAAUGGUUCACGGAUCUCUGAUUCACAUAGUGCAAAGGGCGUGGUUAAUCAGGCAACUGGGCAGGAUACUAGUCAGAGCUUUUCCGCCUUUAGUGGGCCUGCUGUGCAGGAAGAACAGUUUAAGCAACCAGAGAAGAAUGAAUUUGUCGGAGGAAUUUGUGCAAGAACGGUUGCAAAUGGUUCACGGAUCUCUGAUUCACAUAGUGCAGAGGGAGCGGUUAAUCAGGCAACUGGGCAGGAUACUAGUCAGAGCUUUUCAGCCUUUAGUGGGACUGCUGUGCAGGAAAAACAGUUUAAGCAACCAGAGAAGAAUGAAUUUGUCGGAGGAAGUUGCACAAGAACGGUUGCAAAUGGGUCACGGAUCUCUGAUUCACAUAGUGCAAAGGAAGCGAUUAAUCAGGCAACUGGGGAGGAUACAAGUCAGUGCUUUUCAGCCUUUAGUGGGACUGCUGUGCAGGGAAAACAGUUUAAACAAUCUGAAAAGAAUGAAUUUAGUGGAGGAAUUUACGAAAGUGAGAUUGCAAAUGGUUCGCGGAUCUGUGAUUCACAUAGUGGCCCACCAAAACUAAGUACUGAUGAAGAAAGUAUCACAGCAUUCAAAUGUGCCCUCGGCGAAUUCAUAAAAAAUAUCUUAAGGCCUCUGUGGGAAGAAGGCCUCUUAUCUCGUGAGGUCCACAAAAUUAUAGCGAGGAAAGCCGUGGAUAAAGUGGCCUUGACAUUGGGCCCAAAGGUGCCUCGUACAGAAGCAGCCAUCUUUAGGUUUUUUGCAGAGGAAUCUCAGAGUGUAGAACAACUCGUUCAGGGUUACUUGGAUAUAUACCUGGGAAAGCAAGUUCUUAAGAGAACUAUGCCUGGCAGGUUAUGA
rnacentral:rRNA from 1 species